GAUCUAUCGCAGAUGGCAGUGCACGUUUCCGUGCGUGCAUGCCGUGAAAUUUCGUGUCUUUUUCCGAGCGGUACGCUAACCGGUCAGAAUGACGGAAGGUACAGCUACCAUCAGAACGAGAAAGUUCAUGACCAAUCGGCUCCUAUGCCGAAAACAAAUGGUCGUAGAUGUAAUCCAUCCUGGACAACCAUCGGUUCGUAAGACUGAGAUACGUGAGAAACUAGCUAAGAUGUAUAAAGUGACCCCAGACGUCGUCUUUGUGUUUGGCUUUCAAACCAACUUCGGCGGUGGUAAAUCUACUGGGUUCGCGCUUAUCUACGACACCUUGGACUUUGCAAAGAAAUUCGAACCUAAAUACAGGUUAGCAAGGCAUGGUCUCUUCGAGAAACAGAAACAAACCAGGAAACAGCGUAAAGAACGCAAGAACAGAAUGAAGAAAGUUAGGGGUACUAAGAAGAGUAAAGUUGGAGCAGCGUCUAAAAAGGGAAGGAAAUAGAGAAAUGAUCAUCAUUUGUACUACAGACUUCUGGAGGGGCAAUAUCUUGUUGCUUAAUCAGGUAAAAGAAGCCAUCUUGAAGACCACGAUCAUCGACGUAAAAAUUAUUAUAUUUUACUAUGGAAUAGCGCUGUAAUUAUAAUAAAUUUUACGGAAUAAACGUGUAUUCUUCUUGAUGAAAA